rnacentral:sRNA from 1 species
UAUUUUAAUUAAUUAGAAAAAGAAUUAUUUUUUUCUAACCUAACCGCUACCGCCCGCAACCGCAAACGCUUGCGGAAAGGAGCUUUUGAAAUCCGGCGAUUUCGAGCGUUCCAAAGCGGUAUUUAGCGGUUUCUAUGAUUGGUGCCAAUCGCUAACAACCGCUACCACCCGCAAACGUAGCAUUUGCGGGUGAAAGAGGGAGAACCAAUCAAGCCCUUAGUCGUGGGUGUGGAAUCUUAAUUCUAUUUGUUUCCCUAAAUAAAAGGUGUGAUUAAGUAGAUUUCGUUUUUGUUAAGUUUUUUUUU